rnacentral:rRNA from 1 species
UCCAGCAAUGCCGCGUGCAGGAUGAAGGCCUUCGGGUUGUAAACUGCUUUUGUACGGAACGAAAAGCCCUGGGUUAAUACCCUGGGGUCAUGACGGUACCGUAAGAAUAAGCACCGGCUAACUACGUGCCAGCAGCCGCGGUAAUACGUAGGGUGCGAGCGUUAAUCGGAAUUACUGGGCGUAAAGCGUGCGCAGGCGGUUUUGUAAGACAGAGGUGAAAUCCCCGGGCUCAACCUGGGAACUGCCUUUGUGACUGCAAGGCUAGAGUACGGCAGAGGGGGAUGGAAUUCCGCGUGUAGCAGUGAAAUGCGUAGAUAUGCGGAGGAACACCGAUGGCGAAGGCAAUCCCCUGGGCCUGUACUGACGCUCAUGCACGAAAGCGUGGGGAGCAAACAGGAUUAGAUACCCUGGUAGUCCACGCCCUAAACGAUGUCAACUGGUUGUUGGGUCUUAACUGACUCAGUAACGAAGCU